rnacentral:rRNA from 1 species
CCUACGGGUGGCAGCAGUGGGGAAUAUUGCACAAUGGGGGAAACCCUGAUGCAGCGACGCCGCGUGAGUGAAGAAGUAUUUCGGUAUGUAAAGCUCUAUCAGCAGGGAAGAAAAAAGACGGUACCUGACUAAGAAGCCCCGGCUAACUACGUGCCAGCAGACGCGGUAAUACGGAGGGGGGAAGCGUUAUCCGGAUUGACUGGGAGUAAAGGGAGCGUAGACGGCGCGGCAAGUCUGAAGUGAAAGGCAGGGGCUUAACCCCUUAACUGCUUUGGAAAAUGCCAUGCUAGAGUGCGGGAGAGGUGAGUGGAAUUCCUAGGGUAGCGGUGAAAUGCGUAGGUAUUAGAAGGAACACCAGUGGCGAAGGCGGCUUACUGGACAGUAACUGACGUUGAGGCUCGAAAGCGUGGGGAGCAAACAGGAUUAGAUACCCUAGUAGUC